UCGCCGUCUACCUCCACUAUAGUCAAUUUGUGAUUAGCUAUGGUGAAGAAGGUCUCCAUGUUAAUGCCAGCAUUUAUCAGCCUUAGUAGGGGGUCAUGUUGAUGACUUUAACGACAAUUCUGUCAUCUUCAUGAGCGGAUAUCUCAGGGCCAGGGAAUUUCCCGUUGACUGUUACAAUCUCUUUUGUUUGACAUAGCCUGAACCUAGUUGCAGCGCCAACCCUGCCAAGAUUCAUUACUUGAAGAGUGAACAAGAAAAAGCUAAGCCGGAACAAGGACGAGACAGCUGAAUUGGUCAUCUUGCAUGGAAAGAGACGAGGAGAUUUGAGGUUGAAAGGUACUGAUAGAUUUAUGCCACUGAUUUUAUAGUGUUCCAAGGGGAAAGUUAGGAAAUAUAAUAUAUAGUGACGAAAAAGAGUUUCAUGAUUUGAGAGAGUUGGGAACAGAGACAUAAGUGAUUAUAAGGUGUUGGGAAGGCGUGACUUGUUUCUUGACCCCAGCGUGAGAUUGAAGGCAACACACGAGUUACUCUAAAAGGGUUUAAAAAGGAGAAAUAUACUCUUAAUUAGUGUCUGUUCUUUGAUUUUGAAUCAGGAAAAGCUUUAUGCAUUAUGAUGCAGGAUCUUCUACCAAACUAGUGAAACUGCUGACUGAUCAGGACCAACCCAGUUUUCACCAAGACUACUUUCUUCGUCAAGCUUUAGUGGAACCGACCUGAUUGGAACGUGAUGAUUGUUUCGAAUUUUGAC